UACAGAGGUCUCAACCGUUGUUCGGAUUCAUUGGGCGUAAAGGGUGCGUAGGCGGUCGCGCAAGUCGGAUGUGAAAUCUUAGGGCUCAACCCUGAAACUGCAUUCGAUACUGCGUGGCUCGAGUACUGGAGAGGAGACUGGAAUUUACGGUGUAGCAGUGAAAUGCGUAGAUAUCGUAAGGAAGACCAGUGGCGAAGGCGGCCCUCUGGUCCAGUACUGACACUCAAGUGCGAAAGCGUGGGGAGCAAACAGG
rnacentral:rRNA from 1 species